GACGAACGCUGGCGGCGUGCUUAACACAUGCAAGUCGAACGAUGAACCGCUUCGGUGGGGAUUAGUGGCGAACGGGUGAGUAACACGUGGGCAAUCUGCCCUUCACUCUGGGACAAGCCCUGGAAACGGGGUCUAAUACCGGAUAACACUGCCACGGGCAUCUGUGGUGGUUAAAAGCUCCGGCGGUGAAGGAUGAGCCCGCGGCCUAUCAGCUUGUUGGUGAGGUAAUGGCUCACCAAGGCGACGACGGGUAGCCGGCCUGAGAGGGCGACCGGCCACACUGGGACUGAGACACGGCCCAGACUCCUACGGGAGGCAGCAGUGGGGAAUAUUGCACAAUGGGCGAAAGCCUGAUGCAGCGACGCCGCGUGUGUGAUGAAGGUCUUCGGAUCGUAAAGCACUUUCGACU
rnacentral:rRNA from 1 species